rnacentral:rRNA from 1 species
UAAUACGGGGGAUGCAAGCGUUAUCCGGAAUCAUUGGGCGUAAAGCGCCUGUAGGUUGUUUAAUAAAUCUGUUGUUAAAGCCUAGGGCUUAACCCUAGAAAAGCAAUGGAAACUACUAGACUAGAGUAUGGCAGGGGUAGAGGGAAUUUCUAGUGUAGCGGUGAAAUGCGUAGAUAUUAGAAAGAACACCGGUGGCGAAAGCGCUCUACUGGACCAUUACUGACACUCAGAGGCGAAAGCUAGGGUAGCAAAAGGGAUUAGAUACCCCUGUAGUCUUAGCCGUAAACGAUGGAUACUAGAUGUUGUGCUUAAUGUACAGUAUCGUAGCUAACGCGUUAAGUAUCCCGCCUGGGGAGUACGCUCGCAAGGGUG